rnacentral:rRNA from 1 species
AUGAGCCGCCGCUUUGUGAAUCUGCUGGUCAGCAGCUUGCGCCGCCGCGUCCACCGCCCGGACUUCUACGUGCACCGCGUCGAUCCCACGAGCUUGUUCCACCCCGCCGGAUCACCGCAGCCAGCAGCGGCAGAGACGUCCGGCGCUCCGGCUCCGGCUCGGCUGCCCCGCGCCGCCGUGUCCUUCGACUGGCCCUGCCCGCCCAACCAGACCGGGUGGAUAGAGUUCAUGGGCUUCGGCGACGACGUCGUCGCCCUCGACCACGACGGCCGCACGCUCCUCUACGACGGCACGUCGGACGUUGUCUGCAUGAUGAACGACGCGGACUCGCCCAGGCCCAAUCCCAUCUCCGUCACCGUCGGCGAUGGCCUCUACGUGUUGGCGACCAACCCCGGACGGCCGCCCCACACGUACUGCUUCCAGUCGCUCGUCCACGGCGGCACGUUCCCCGGCUCCCCAUGGAAGGAGUGGCACUGGCGCUCGCUCGAGUCGCCGCCAUUCGAUCCCAAGUUCGCGACCACGGACAAGUAUCCCACCAGAUUCAAGCACGACCUGGGGCCGGCGGAGGCGGUGGCCCCGCGCGCGAUCGACGCCUACGCGGUGGUCGGCGACUCAGAGAUCUGGGUGUCCACGGUCAGCGCCGGUACGUACUCCUUCAACACGGCGAGCGGCGAGUGGAGCGCGGUCGGCCACUCUGCGCUGCCGUUCAGAGGCCGCGCCGAGUACGUCCCCGAGCACGGCCUCUGGUUCGGCUUCUCGGACGGCGACGAGCACCUCUGCGUCGCUGACCUCGCGCAGGAACCGCCGGAGACGCAGGUCUUUCCUCUUCGGCACGUGUGGGAGGACCCGCCACGGCCGGAAGCGUGGACCCCGACGGCGAUCCGCCUCCUGCCGUUGGGCUCCGGCAAACUGUGCGUGGCUAGGUGCUUCCGGAGAACCAAGGAGGGGGAGAGGCUGCUCCCGUCGGAGUACAGGCACGAGAAUUCCGAGAGCUUCUGGUGCUCGCCGGCGUGGAGGUUGUCAGGGACGCCGGCACGAGAAGCCUGGAGAUGA